UGAAUGAGGCAGAAGAGAAGCUGUUGAAAGUGGAGGAGAAACAGUCAGGAUUGAAAGACAGGGUUGAUCAUGCAAUCCAUGCCCACAAUCUUCUGGAACAGCGUUUGCAACAUUUGAGGAAUUUGCCUGGUGCUCAUAAGAAACCUUUGUCAAAAGCAGAGCGUGAAUUUAAAUCUGAGCUUGACAACUUUACAGGAGUUGAGUUGGAUGCUUUGCGAACUUCAAUUGACACUUUAAAAGCAAGGUUGAGAAGGCACACUCAAUCAGGAAAAGAUAAUGUAUUGAAACAACAAAGGCAAAUAUCUGGAAAGAACUAUGUUCAAGAUAUCCAAAUGUCCCAGUUGAAAUCUGCACUUGCGAAACUCUCACUUGUCAACAGUGAAAACUCAAAAAAAGUUAAGCUUGUUGAAUCUGCAUUGAAAAGUCAGGAAAGCAGCAGAGGAUAAAAUAUUAAAUGUAUCUUUUUGGUGGUUCUUUUGUCUAAUAUACUGGAGUCCCAUAUUGGUCCUUGGAACAAGUCCCUUUCCAUUGGAUGCCUUACAUUUCAAUUUUAAACUGACUUGUAAAUAUUGGAUCGACAGUGGGUAAAUUAUCACAUUGCUUUUGGAUGCAUUGAUGCAAGGUUCCAAAGUUGGCACCAUGUCUUUUGCUAUGCUUAGCAUUGGAGAUGCUUUGAUCAGGAGCUCUUUUUCUCGCAGAAAAGUAUAUACAGGUGCAGUCCAUGUUCUUGCAGUCAAAAGUUCCUUAACUUGCAGAUUUUCGUAUUGACCUUGCAAGUAAUUUACUCAAGUGUGAGACCAGAUCUGGAGCUAAAUUAUGGACUUGAAGGUAUGAUACUUGCACAUACCAUUACAGCAUAUAUUAAAGUUUAAAGGUAUUUGCUUAGGUUUAUUUGUGUUGAACAAGCUCUCUUGAUAAGCAAUUUGAGGUCCCCCCAAUUCCUUUUUAGAGAUGAAUAGCUAAUAGCAAAACAAUUAUUUUUUUAAAAUAAUACUAAUAAUAACUAUUUCCUCUUUUCUCUA